rnacentral:rRNA from 1 species
ACGCAGCCAUGCCGCGUGUGUGAAGAAGGCCUUCGGGUUGUAAAGCACUUUCAAUAGGGAGGAAAGGUUGUAACUUAAUACGUUGCAACUGUGACGUUACCUAUAGAAGAAGGACCGGCUAACUCCGUGCCAGCAGCCGCGGUAAUACGGAGGGUCCGAGCGUUAAUCGGAAUUACUGGGCGUAAAGCGCGCGUAGGCGGCUUCGUCAGUCAGAUGUGAAAGCCCCGGGCUCAACCUGGGAACUGCAUUUGAUACUGCGGAGCUAGAGUAUGGUAGAGGAUAGUGGAAUUCCAGGUGUAGCGGUGAAAUGCGUAGAUAUCUGGAGGAACAUCAGUGGCGAAGGCGACUGUCUGGACCAAUACUGACGCUGAGGUGCGAAAGCGUGGGGAGCAAACAGG